ACAGACGCUUCCCCUUUCACCUUUACCUUCUUCCUUUUCUCCUUCUCUCAGCCGUUUAACGAACUUGAAAAGGCAGACACAUGGUUUCAAGUUCGUUUAAAACCUUCUCUCAGACACUGCUUUUCCGUGUCUGCCUCUGAUUUCCAGCAUCUCCUCGACACCCUGCCUCGCCCUUCCACCGCCGUCUGGAACACCUUCAUCAUCGGCUUCAUCUGCGACCAGAAGCCCCUCGACGCCCUCCUCCUCUACGCCCACGUCUCUUUCAGGAUCUCAAGGAGGAUAUUUGUUUUGCAAUGGUAACCCCUGUCGCAGGUACCUUGGCCACUGGGAUUGGGGCUUUGACGGGUGGUCAAGGAACUGGCUAGAUGGCGGUUAUGCAAAUGAAGGGGAGACAAAGGAUUUUUGGAGGGUUCGAAUCAAAGUAGGGAAGGCGGUCUGCUCCGUUUAGAUUUGGUGCGCCUUUGCUGGGAUUAUGGGGUUCCAGUUUGUGCAUUGGUGUCGUUCUUCUACGUUGUUCUUGAUUGUGGGUUAAUCAGUUCUUUGGUGUGAUGAGGCUGCAACUCAUGAUGCUUAUUCCCAAAAGAAGUAUUAGCAGCAACAACAGAAAAAGCAAAACGGAGGUUGACUGAAGCUUGGCUUUGAGGCAGGACUCUCGAAAGCUACCACUUGCGGAGUUAUUCAAUUUCAGAAUCAGAAGUGAAAGAUCUCUGAAACUGAAAUUAAGUUGGGGUGUUCAAAGAACCUGAUGAUUCUAUCCUGAGACAAAGAAUGACUUCAGUCACCAGCUUAGGAAACAAUUAGAUUGUGCGGUGGAAAUCAGAAAUGGCGUGAAGAGGACACAUGCUGGUUUCGCUUGGUUUAAUAUUACCUGAAUAUUGAUGGUGAAUUUGGAGGGAUUGGUUAAAUCCAAUCAAAUAAUUUUUUGGCAUAUUGAAAAACUUCAAUUGAAACAUUCACUGGAGACACACAGUUACCCUCAAUGUUGUAAAUAUGGGUGGAACUUAAAUAAUGUACAUUCCUUCUCACGGUCUCUUUUUUUAAUAAGAUCUUAAGCUUCACAUAGCUUUUUUGGCUUGCAUUCCGUCUCAUAAUCUCUUUCUUUGUUGUCAUUGUUUUUUGGAGGGCGUUUGACAACAGGUUUCUCCUUGGAUUUCAUCUAUUAGGUCUGUUAUAGGAUGGGAAUAUUGAUGGGAGUACACUGUUUGGUUUGAUUCAAUUGAGAUCAUGGAAGUGGUUGUCUGCAGAAAACAAGGAAUUUACUUCAUCAAUGUUUGAAUGGUUAACUAAUCUAAUGGCAUGCCUCGGUGGAUAUUGAUCAGUGCUUUUGGUUCAGGAUGGCUUUUGAUUUCAAGUUGCAAUUGGGUUGGCGGUUGCUGCAAUUUUGGAUUUGCUUCUUGGAUCCUGUAUUGUUUCGCUAGAGGAUGCUGGACGUAGAGGACAAGAUGCUGGUGGAUUUUGAGAUAGUAAUUACUAUUGUAAUAGCCACUAUCUUAGCUUUAGGCAGCAUAGUUGGUUUUUUCUUUUUGUCUAAUUUUCUGGCCCAUUGAAUGUUUUGUGCAGAAGCCUCUCAAUAAAAGUGAAGCAGUUGUUCCUUCUAAUUUGCUGGAUAAUAAUUUGGCUUUUGAUCCAGCCCUCAAUAAGAUUGCCAGACAUGAGGGUGCAUCAGACAUGUAGCUUAAUCCCUUUUGUAAUUUGGUAUUUGAUUUCUAAUGGGCAGAAGUGUUUGAAUUCUGAACUGUA